rnacentral:rRNA from 1 species
AUGCAAGUCGAACGUGAUCCAUCCUUCGGGGUGGUGAAAGUGGCGCACGGGUGAGUAACGCGUGGAUAAUCUGCCCGAGGAUUUGGGAUAACAUCUCGAAAGGGGUGCUAAUACCGAAUAAGCCCACGGGGUCUACGGAUCUUGCGGGAAAAGGGGGGGACUUUCGGGCCUCCUGUCUUCGGAUGAGUCCGCGUACCAUUAGCUAGUUGGUAGGGUAAUGGCCUACCAAGGCGACGAUGGUUAGCUGGUCUGAGAGGAUGAUCAGCCACACUGGAACUGAGACACGGUCCAGACUCCUACGGGAGGCAGCAGUGGGGAAUUUUGCGCAAUGGGGGAAACCCUGACGCAGCAACGCCGCGUGGGUGAUGAAGGCCUUCGGGUCGUAAAGCCCUGUCGGGAGGGAAGAAAUGAUUGAGAGCUAAUACCUCUUGGUCUUGACGGUACCUCCGAAGGAAGCACCGGCUAACUCCGUGCCAGCAGCCGCGGUAAUACGGAGGGUGCAAGCGUUGUUCGGAAUUAUUGGGCGUAAAGCGCGUGUAGGCGGUCUUUUAAGUCUGAUGUGAAAGCCCCGGGCUCAACCUGGGAAGUGCAUUGGAAACUGGGAGACUUGAGUACGGGAGAGGAGAGUGGAAUUCCUAGUGUAGGAGUGAAAUCCGUAGAUAUUAGGAGGAACACCGGUGGCGAAGGCGGCUCUCUGGACCGAUACUGACGCUGAGACGCGAAAGCGUGG